rnacentral:rRNA from 1 species
ACGCUAGCUACAGGCUUAACACAUGCAAGUCGAGGGGCAGCAUGGUCUUAGCUUGCUAAGGCCGAUGGCGACCGGCGCACGGGUGAGUAACACGUAUCCAACCUGCCGUCUACUCUUGGACAGCCUUCUGAAAGGAAGAUUAAUACAAGAUGGCAUCAUGAGUCCGCAUGUUCACAUGAUUAAAGGUAUUCCGGUAGACGAUGGGGAUGCGUUCCAUUAGAUAGUAGGCGGGGUAACGGCCCACCUAGUCUUCGAUGGAUAGGGGUUCUGAGAGGAAGGUCCCCCACAUUGGAACUGAGACACGGUCCAAACUCCUACGGGAGGCAGCAGUGAGGAAUAUUGGUCAAUGGGCGCAGGCCUGAACCAGCCAAGUAGCGUGAAGGAUGACUGCCCUAUGGGUUGUAAACUUCUUUUAUAAAGGAAUAAAGUCGGGUAUGGAUACCCGUUUGCAUGUACUUUAUGAAUAAGGAUCGGCUAACUCCGUGCCAGCAACCGCGGUAAUACGGAGGAUCCGAGCGUUAUCCGGAUUUAUUGGGUUUAAAGGGAGCGUAGAUGGAUGUUUAAGUCAGUUGUGAAAGUUUGCAGCUCAACCGUAAAAUUGCAGUUGAUACUGGAUAUCUUGAGUGCAGUUGAGGCAGGCGGAAUUCGUGGUGUAGCGGUGAAAUGCUUAGAUAUCACGAAGAACUCCGAUUGCGAAGGCAGCCUGCUAAGCUGCAACUGACAUUGAGGCUCGAAAGUGUGGGUAUCAAACAGGAUUAGAUACCCUGGUAGUCCACACGGUAAACGAUGAAUACUCGCUGUUUGCGAUAUACAGCAAGCGGCCAAGCGAAAGCGUUAAGUAUUCCACCUGGGGAGUACGCCGGCAACGGUGAAACUCAAAGGAAUUGACGGGGGCCCGCACAAGCGGAGGAACAUGUGGUUUAAUUCGAUGAUACGCGAGGAACCUUACCCGGGCUUAAAUUGCAGAUGAAUUACGGUGAAAGCCGUAAGCCGCAAGGCAUCUGUGAAGGUGCUGCAUGGUUGUCGUCAGCUCGUGCCGUGAGGUGUCGGCUUAAGUGCCAUAACGAGCGCAACCCUUGUUGUCAGUUACUAACAGGUUCCGCUGAGGACUCUGACAAGACUGCCAUCGUAAGAUGUGAGGAAGGUGGGGAUGACGUCAAAUCAGCACGGCCCUUACGUCCGGGGCUACACACGUGUUACAAUGGGGGGUACAGAGGGCCGCUACCACGCGAGUGGAUGCCAGUCCCCAAAACCUCUCUCAGUUCGGACUGGAGUCUGCAACCCGACUCCACGAAGCUGGAUUCGCUAGUAAUCGCGCAUCAGCCACGGCGCGGUGAAUACGUUCCCGGGCCUUGUACACACCGCCCGUCAAGCCAUGGGAGCCGGGGGUACCUGAAGUGCGUAACCGCGAGGAGCGCCCUAGGGUAAAACUGGUGACUGGGGCU